UGUCUGGAGGACUAGUGGUUAGGCCCUGGCGCUCUCACUGCCGCGGCCCAGGUUCGAUUCCUGGCCAAGGAA
rnacentral:tRNA from 1 species